rnacentral:tRNA from 1 species
CUGGUUUGGGCUUUUAGUUGUUAACUAAAGGUUUACGGGAUCGAGGCCCGUCGGUCUAG